GGUGAGCCAGGAGGGACGUGGCGCUCUGCGGCGCGGGCUGAGAAGCCGCACCCCUUCCUUCUCUGGCUUUCAUGGAGAGUCCUGUGGAGCAGGAUUUGGGUGGGUGAGGUGCUUACCCGGGACGCGGACAAAAACCCAGGAUCCCACAGGACAUCACUUGGCCAAGUUCUUCACUGUGUUCAGAAUGGGGGAGAGGGAGGCAGGAGUACUUACAAGAGACAUACGCGGGCCUCUCACUGUUGUGGCCUCUCCCAUUGCGGAGCACAGGCUCCGGACGCGCACGCUCAGCGACCAUGGCUCACGGGCCCAGCCGCUCCGCGGCAUGUGGGAUCUUCCCGGACCGGGGCAUGAACCCGUGUCUCCUGCAUCGGCAGGCGGACUCUCAACCACUGCGCCACCAGGG